rnacentral:misc_RNA from 1 species
UUUUUUUUUUUUUUAAAUAAAAAACAGGAUUAUAUGAAAUUCUGCUGGGAAUUACUAUCUCCUUCCUUUUCCCUGGUGCAUCUAUAUUUUGAAAACCUACAUGAUCGGGUCAUGAUAGUCCCCUCAGGCAAGAUGGAACCAACACAUCAAACAAUAUGCAUAAUUAUAAUGCAAAAGAAACAUGGUUUGACUACACACCGUAGGUCCAGCCAACAAAGAAG